AUCUCUAACCAUUGUUCGAGUACAGCCUUAAGUGGAUGUAACUAAAUUUAUAUUUCCCUAUCAGCCAAUAAGUGAAUCGAAAUAGCGAAAAAGUUAAAACGGGAACUCUCGCAAAAUACUUCAAAAUAUUUACAUAUAUCUGUACUAAUGCACCUAUGAAUAUUUUGCGCAAUUCGGCACAUCCAAAAGUAUGUGUAAUGAAUAUUCAUAAAUUCGUACACACAAAGCAGCCUCAUAGAAAACAACUCAGGCUUUUUGAGCUGAUCGAAGGAAUGAAAUCGUCAAAGUCAUAGCCGUCAAAUUCAAAGUUAUCAAACUCACUUGAAACGUCUCAACGAGAACAGUUGCCAAAUCAAAUCAAACAAAAUGAACUUCAACAAAGUCUUCAUCUUCUUGGCUGUGAUGAUUGGCAUUUUCGCAGGACAAACCGCAGGUUUGCUGAUGCCGGUCCCCAGGAAAAUCAAACGUCUUCGUCCAUUCAAAACGGGUAUCAUCAUUUCAGGGCUUGCUCGUAUACGGCUCCAAACCGCUAUUGUUGCCGUCAGGGGUUAAAAAAUAGUUGAAACAUUGUAUUAUUGGUUAUAUAAAAGGUUUUCCAGUAAGAAGUGUUGUUUUAAUAUUAAAAAAUAUGCUAUUUUUUAUAUUUCAUUAUAAAGAGGAAGGUACGCCGUUAAUAGUGGAAAAUAACAGCAGGCAAAUGACCACCACGACCACGCUUACAGGACAAUAUCCUUUUCUAUAACCGAAUGGUAAUGUGGCUGCCCUAUGUCCUCGAUAACCUCACGAAUUCCGUCUUUGAGGUCUUAAAUCGACCUUCUCUUUCACGUGGCCACAGAGAAACAAGUCUCAAGGUGUUAAAUCACCAGAUCUCGUUGGCCAAUUGUGAUCACCUCUUCGAGAGAUAACACGGUCCGGAAACUUUCUCCGUAAAAGAUCAAUGGUUUCGUUGCUUGUGUGGCACAUAUCGCCGUCUUGUUGAUAAUAAACGUUGUCCAGAUCAAUACCAUCCAAUUCCAGCAAUAAAAAAUUGUUAAUCAUCUAUCGAUAGCGCAAUCCUAUUCAAAAUAACACCUGUUAUUGGAAAACCCUUUAGUUUAUUUAUUUUUGACCACAAAAAUUCUUUGUUCUUCCACAGUUUGUAAAGUUACAUAUACUCAUUACCUUGAAGAAAAUAAAUUAUUUUACUAUCAUAAAUUCAAAAUAUGUA